rnacentral:rRNA from 2 species
AGGGCCGUGGCGGGGUGCUAUACAUGCAAGUCGAGCGAAUGGAUUAAGAGCUUGCUCUUAUGAAGUUAGCGGCGGACGGGUGAGUAACACGUGGGUAACCUGCCCAUAAGACUGGGAUAACUCCGGGAAACCGGGGCUAAUACCGGAUAACAUUUUGAACCGCAUGGUUCGAAAUUGAAAGGCGGCUUCGGCUGUCACUUAUGGAUGGACCCGCGUCGCAUUAGCUAGUUGGUGAGGUAACGGCUCACCAAGGCAACGAUGCGUAGCCGACCUGAGAGGGUGAUCGGCCACACUGGGACUGAGACACGGCCCAGACUCCUACGGGAGGCAGCAGUAGGGAAUCUUCCGCAAUGGACGAAAGUCUGACGGAGCAACGCCGCGUGAGUGAUGAAGGCUUUCGGGUCGUAAAACUCUGUUGUUAGGGAAGAACAAGUGCUAGUUGAAUAAGCUGGCACCUUGACGGUACCUAACCAGAAAGCCACGGCUAACUACGUGCCAGCAGCCGCGGUAAUACGUAGGUGGCAAGCGUUAUCCGGAAUUAUUGGGCGUAAAGCGCGCGCAGGUGGUUUCUUAAGUCUGAUGUGAAAGCCCACGGCUCAACCGUGGAGGGUCAUUGGAAACUGGGAGACUUGAGUGCAGAAGAGGAAAGUGGAAUUCCAUGUGUAGCGGUGAAAUGCGUAGAGAUAUGGAGGAACACCAGUGGCGAAGGCGACUUUCUGGUCUGUAACUGACACUGAGGCGCGAAAACGUGGGGAGCAAACAGGAUUACAUACCCUGGUAGUCCACGCCGUAAACGAUGAGUGCUAGUGUUAGAGGGUUUCCUCCCUCUUAUUGCUGAAUUAACUCAUUAAGCACUCCACCCGGCGGAGUACGGCCGCAGGGCUGAUACUCAAAGGAAAUUGACGGGGACGCGCCCCACGCCGGUGUAGCACGUGUUUUAAUUCUAAACUAACGCAGAAC